UUAGAUAGGUAAGAAAAGACUAUCUUAACCGUGUAAAGGGAAUGAUCAGCAGAAAGGUUCAUUAGAGAAUAAAACCGCACGUUUUAUAUGGCCAUGGUUAAAUAAGGACCAAGAGAACGACCAAACAACAUGUCAUUAUCUUCAUAGUUCUUUUUCUAAAGGAAAACAAGAAAAAUUGAUUAGGGUAAUCGACCUACUAACAAUGAUGGGUCAGGGUCUUGGUUCUCAUCCUUUAAUGUUAACAGCAAUGUAGUGCAAGUGGUUGUAGUUGUGGAAGUAUCGGCAAUAGUGCUGUUAAUAAACUUGACAUGGAAGAUUGCUUCGAUUAUGAGAUUCCAUGGGAAGACUUGACAAUUGGAGAAUCAGUUGGCCAAGGUUCUUGUGACACUGUCUACCAUGCUUUGUGGAAUGGAUCGAAACUGAUUCAGCAUUCUCUCGGGCAGUAUUCUCUCGGGAUGUAGCUGUCAAAGUAUUUUUCAAACACGAAUAUUUAGAUGAUAUCGUACACUCCUUCAGACAAGAGGUAUUCCGAGGAGUGGUUCCGAUAUGAUAUGAUAUUGUUAUUAGGAAUUUGGGGAUCAUUGGGCAGGGAGGCUACGACAAAAUGAGUAAUGAUUUAUGCAAAAUAUUAUGAAUUGUGAUUUGUUUUGUUUGAAAGAAUUAAUUAGCUAAAAGAGUUGGAAAAAAUGAAUUUCAGUGAUUUGAUCAAUUACUCAUCUUGGUAGUGUAAUU